UACGUAGGUGGUAAGCGUUGUCCGGAUUUAUUGGGUUUAAAGGGUGCGUAGGCGGUUUUAUAAGUCAGUGCUGAAAUAUCCCGGCUUAACUGGGAGGGUGGCAUUGAUACUGCAGAGCUUGAGUGAAGUCGAGGUAGGCGGAAUUGACGGUGUAGCGGUGAAAUGCUUAGAUAUCGUCAAGAACACCGAUAGUGAAGACAGUUUACUAGACUUCAACUGACGCUGAGGCACGAAAGUGUGGGGAUCAAACAGG
rnacentral:rRNA from 1 species